CCAAUAGCGUAUAUUAAAGUUGUUGCAGUUAAAAAGCUCGUAGUUGAAUUUCGGGGUCAGUAGGUUGGUCGUGCCACUGGUAUGUACUGGUCUCACUGAUUCCUCCUUCCUGAUGAGCCGUAAUGCCAUUAAUUUGGUGUUGCGGGGAAUCUGGACUGUUACUUUGAAAAAAUUAGAGUGUUUAAAGCAGGCUAACGCUUGAAUACAUUAGCAUGGAAUAAUGGAAUAGGACGUUCGAUCCUAUUUUGUUGGUUUCUAGGAUUGACGUAAUGAUUAAUAGGGAUAGUUGGGGGCAUUAGUAUUCAAUUGUCAGAGGUGAAAUUCUUGGAUUUAUUGAAGACUAACUACUGCGAAAGCAUUUGCCAAGGAUGCUUUCAUUAAUCAAGAACGAAAGUUAGGGGAUCGAAGACGAUCAGAUACCGUCGUAGUCUUAACCAUAAACUAUGCCGACUAGGGAUCGGAUGAUGUUAAUUUUUUAAUGACUCAUUCGGCGCCUUACG
rnacentral:rRNA from 1 species